rnacentral:rRNA from 1 species
UAAGGGCGCACGGUGGAUGCCUUGGCACUAGAAGCCGAUGAAGGACGUUACUAACGACGAUAUGCUUUGGGGAGCUGUAAGUAAGCUUUGAUCCAGAGAUUUCCGAAUGGGGAAACCCAGCAUGAGUUAUGUCAUGUUAUCGAUAUGUGAAUACAUAGCAUAUCAGAAGGCACACCCGGAGAACUGAAACAUCUUAGUACCCGGAGGAAGAGAAAGAAAAUUCGAUUCCCUUAGUAGCGGCGAGCGAAACGGGAAGAGCCCAAACCAACAAGCUUGCUUGUUGGGGUUGUAGGACACUCUAUACGGAGUUACAAAGGACGACAUUAGACGAAUCAUCUGGAAAGAUGAAUCAAAGAAGGUAAUAAUCCUGUAGUCGAAAAUGUUGUCUCUCUUGAGUGGAUCCUGAGUACGACGGAGCACGUGAAAUUCCGUCGGAAUCUGGGAGGACCAUCUCCUAAGGCUAAAUACUCUCUAGUGACCGAUAGUGAACCAGUACCGUGAGGGAAAGGUGAAAAGCACCCCGGAAGGGGAGUGAAAUAGAACCUGAAACCGUGUGCUUACAAGUAGUCAGAGCCCGUUAAUGGGUGAUGGCGUGCCUUUUGUAGAAUGAACCGGCGAGUUACGAUUUGAUGCAAGGUUAAGCAGUAAAUGUGGAGCCGUAGCGAAAGCGAGUCUGAAUAGGGCGUUUAGUAUUUGGUCGUAGACCCGAAACCAGGUGAUCUACCCUUGGUCAGGUUGAAGUUCAGGUAACACUGAAUGGAGGACCGAACCGACUUACGUUGAAAAGUGAGCGGAUGAACUGAGGGUAGCGGAGAAAUUCCAAUCGAACCUGGAGAUAGCUGGUUCUCUCCGAAAUAGCUUUAGGGCUAGCCUCAAGUGAUGAUUAUUGGAGGUAGAGCACUGUUUGGACGAGGGGCCCCUCUCGGGUUACCGAAUUCAGACAAACUCCGAAUGCCAAUUAAUUUAACUUGGGAGUCAGAACAUGGGUGAUAAGGUCCGUGUUCGAAAGGGAAACAGCCCAGACCACCAGCUAAGGUCCCAAAAUAUAUGUUAAGUGGAAAAGGAUGUGGCGUUGCCCAGACAACUAGGAUGUUGGCUUAGAAGCAGCCAUCAUUUAAAGAGUGCGUAAUAGCUCACUAGUCGAGUGACACUGCGCCGAAAAUGUACCGGGGCUAAACAUAUUACCGAAGCUGUGGAUUGUCCUUUGGACAAUGGUAGGAGAGCGUUCUAAGGGCGUUGAAGCAUGAUCGUAAGGACAUGUGGAGCGCUUAGAAGUGAGAAUGCCGGUGUGAGUAGCGAAAGACGGGUGAGAAUCCCGUCCACCGAUUGACUAAGGUUUCCAGAGGAAGGCUCGUCCGCUCUGGGUUAGUCGGGUCCUAAGCUGAGGCCGACAGGCGUAGGCGAUGGAUAACAGGUUGAUAUUCCUGUACCACCUAUAAUCGUUUUAAUCGAUGGGGGGACGCAGUAGGAUAGGCGAAGCGUGCGAUUGGAUUGCACGUCUAAGCAGUAAGGCUGAGUAUUAGGCAAAUCCGGUACUCAUUAAGGCUGAGCUGUGAUGGGGAGAAGACAUUGUGUCUUCGAGUCGUUGAUUUCACACUGCCGAGAAAAGCCUCUAGAUAGAAAAUAGGUGCCCGUACCGCAAACCGACACAGGUAGUCAAGAUGAGAAUUCUAAGGUGAGCGAGCGAACUCUCGUUAAGGAACUCGGCAAAAUGACCCCGUAACUUCGGGAGAAGGGGUGCUCUUUAGGGUUAACGCCCAGAAGAGCCGCAGUGAAUAGGCCCAAGCGACUGUUUAUCAAAAACACAGGUCUCUGCUAAACCGUAAGGUGAUGUAUAGGGGCUGACGCCUGCCCGGUGCUGGAAGGUUAAGAGGAGUGGUUAGCUUCUGCGAAGCUACGAAUCGAAGCCCCAGUAAACGGCGGCCGUAACUAUAACGGUCCUAAGGUAGCGAAAUUCCUUGUCGGGUAAGUUCCGACCCGCACGAAAGGCGUAACGAUUUGGGCACUGUCUCAACGAGAGGCUCGGUGAAAUCAUAGUACCUGUGAAGAUGCAGGUUACCCGCGACAGGACGGAAAGACCCCGUGGAGCUUUACUGUAGCCUGAUAUUGAAAUUCGGCACAGCUUGUACAGGAUAGGUAGGAGCCUUUGAAACGUGAGCGCUAGCUUACGUG